CCUACGGGUGGCAGCAGUGGGGAAUAUUGCACAAUGGGGGAAACCCUGAUGCAGCGACGCCGCGUGAACGAUGAAGGAUUUCGGUAUGUAAAGCUCUAUCAGCAGGGGAGAAAAUGACGGUACCUGACUAAGAAGCCCCGUCUAACUACGUUCCAGCAGCCGCGGUAAUACGGAGGGGGCAGGCGUUAUCCGGAUUUACUGGGUGUAAAGGGAGCGUAGACGGCUGUGCAAGCCAGAUGUGAAAGGCCGGGGCUCAACCCCGGGACUGCCGUUGGAACUGUGUGGCUGGAGUGUCGGAGAGGCAGGCGGAAUUCGUAGUGUAGCGGUGAAAUGCGUAGAUAUUAGGAGGAACACCAGUGGCGAAGGCGGCCUGCUGGACGAUGACUGACGUUGAGGCUCGAAAGCGUGGGGAGCAAACAGGAUUAGAUACCCCGGUAGUC
rnacentral:rRNA from 1 species